UACGGAGGGUGCAAGCGUUGUCCGGAAUUAUUGGGCGUAAAGCGCACGUAGGCGGUUCUUUAAGUCUCAUGGUGAAAGGCUGGGGCUCAACCCCAAGCAAGUCGGGGAUACUGGAGGACUGGAGACAGGCAGAGGCCAGCGGAAUUCCGGGUGUAGCGGUGGAAUGCGUAGAGAUCCGGAAGAACACCGGAGGCGAAGGCGGCUGGCUGGGCCUGAUCUGACGCUGAGGUGCGAAAGCGUGGGGAGCGAACAGG
rnacentral:rRNA from 1 species